AGCUCCAAUAGCGUAUAUUAAAGUUGUUGCAGUUAAAAAGCUCGUAGUUGGAUCUCGGGCGGAGACGGGCGGUGCUAGCUCCCGUGCCGGCAACUGCCCCCUCCGGCCCUACCUGCCGGUUCAUCCCAUCGGUGCUCUUAACUGAGUGCCUGGGGCGUCCGGGACGUUUACUUUGAAAAAAUUAGAGUGCUCAAGGCAGGCUUGGACGCCUGUAUAAUGCUGCAUGGAAUAAAGGGAAGAGGCCCUGGGUUCUAUUUUGUGGGUAACGGGAACAGGAGAAAAGGAUAAAGGGGGACGGCCGGGGGCAUUGGUAUUACGGGGUGGGGGGAAAAAUUUUUGGACCGCCGUAAGACGGACUACUGCGAAAGCAUUUGCCAAGAAUGUUUUCA
rnacentral:rRNA from 1 species